UACGUAGGGACCAAGCGUUGUUCGGAUUUACUGGGCGUAAAGGGCGCGUAGGCGGCAAUUCAAGUCAUCUGUGAAAUCUCCGGGCUUAACUCGGAAUGGUCAGGUGAUACUGCUUUGCUAGAGUGCAGGAAGGGGCAAUCGGAAUUCUUGGUGUAGCGGUGAAAUGCGUAGAUAUCAAGAGGAACACCUGAGGUGAAGACGGGUUGCUGGGCUGACACUGACGCUGAUGCGCGAAAGCCAGGGGAGCGAACGGG
rnacentral:rRNA from 1 species